GUGGCGUCGAUUGGUCGAUGAGCUUAUCCAUUCUCCCACCUCUGUGAACCGUGUGACCUCCGGGUUAAUAAUCAAACAUCACUGUAACGAACGUAAGAGUAUCUUAAUUAAACAAAACUUUUAACAACGGAUCUCUUGGCUCUCGCAUCAAUGAAUAACGCACCGAAAUGCGAUAAGUAAUGUGAAUUGCAAAAUUCAGUGAAUCAUCGAAUCUUUGAACGCACCUUGCGCCUUUUGGUAUUCCGAAAGGCAUGCCUGUUUCAGUGUCAUGAAAUCUCAAUCUAAUAUGUUUUCUGAACAUGUUAGGCUUGGACUUGGGUGUCUGCCAGCAAUGGCUCACCUCAAAUGACUUAGUGGAACAUCCCACAUCAGUGUUAGACGUAAUAAGUUUCGUCUCUCCUUGUGGUGAUGACUGCUCAAAACCUGCCAUCGCGCACCUUUUGACUUUGACCUGAAAUCAGGUAGGGCUACCCGCUGAACUUAAGCAUAUCAAUAAGCCGGAGGAAAGAAGA
rnacentral:rRNA from 1 species